UACAGAGGUCUCAAGCGUUGUUCGGAUUCAUUGGGCGUAAAGGGUGCGUAGGCGGCGCGGUAAGUCGGGUGUGAAAUCUUGGAGCUUAACUCCGAAACUGCAUUCGAUACUGCCGUGCUUGAGGACUGGAGAGGAGACUGGAAUUUACGGUGUAGCGGUGAAAUGCGUAGAUAUCGUAAGGAAGACCAGUGGCGAAGGCGGGUCUCUGGGAAGUAACUGACGCUGAGAAGCGAAAGCGUGGGUAGCGAACAGG
rnacentral:rRNA from 1 species